GAUGAACGCUAGCGGCAGGCUUAACACAUGCAAGUCGAGCGGAGAUGAGGUGCUUGCACCUUAUCUUAGCGGCGGACGGGUGAGUAAUGCUCAGGAAUCUGCCUAUUAGUGGGGGCAACAUUCCGAAAGGAAUGCUAAUACCGCAUACGCCCUACGGGGGAAAGCAGGGGAUCUUCGGACCUUGCGCUAAUAGAUGAGCCUAAGUCGGAUUAGCUAGUUGGUGGGGUAAAGGCCUACCAAGGCGACGAUCUGUAGCGGGUCUGAGAGGAUGAUCCGCCACACUGGGACUGAGACACGGCCCAGACUCCUACGGGAGGCAGCAGUGGGGAAUAUUGGACAAUGGGCGGAAGCCUGAUCCAGCCAUGCCGCGUGUGUGAAGAAGGCCUUUUGGUUGUAAAGCACUUUAAGCGAGGAGGAGGCUACUUAGAUUAAUACUCUAGGAUAGUGGACGUUACUCGCAGAAUAAGCACCGGCUAACUCUGUGCCAGCAGCCGCCGUAAUAC
rnacentral:rRNA from 1 species